UACGUAGGGUGCAAGCGUUAAUCGGAAUUACUGGGCGUAAAGCGUGCGCAGGCGGUUUUGUAAGUCUGACGUGAAAUCCCCGGGCUCAACCUGGGAAUUGCGUUGGAGACUGCAAGGCUAGAAUCUGGCAGAGGGUGGUGGAAUUCCACGUGUAGCAGUGAAAUGCGUAGAGAUGUGGAGGAACACCGAUGGCGAAGGCAGCCCCCUGGGUCAAGAUUGACGCUCAUGCACGAAAGCGUGGGGAGCAAACAGG
rnacentral:rRNA from 1 species